rnacentral:lncRNA from 1 species
AAAAAAAGGGAAGGAAAACCCUGUCUUCCUCACGCAGUCCUAAAUAAACAAUCAUCAAAAAGAGAAAAGACCAAAGAAGAAGAAAGGAAGGAAGGAGAAAAAAUCAACUGAUUGGCCUUUGCGCUUGUCCAAAGCCAUCCGUCACAGGUUUAUUGGCAACUCCUGUUUCCCUUCCGAUCCUCAGCUAUUUCACUGAUGAUUGGCCUUUGCGCUUGUCCAAAGCAAUCCGUCACAGGUUUAUUGGCAACUCCUGUUUCCCUUCCGAUCCUCAGCUAUUUCACUGAAGCCGCCAUUCAAUUCACACAUAAUUACACACAUACGUGCACCAUAUUAUUUCACACAGUUCUAGGGUUUGAUUGUUUAUAUUUAGCU